UUAACAUUACCGGCAGAAUAUUACCAAUUCCCGACAGAGCGCUAUCAUCUGCCGGAAUGGCAAUACUCCGGCAGAAUUGGAAUAAAAUAAAAUUAUACUCUGGAAUUUCUAGGAAAGGAAUAUGACAGAAAUCUUCAACAUUUGAAACGUUGGGUGCAAAGAAAGCCUUUUUUUUUAAAUACAUUUGUUAUGACGCAUAUCUUUUUUUUUUUUUUUACAUAUUAGUUAUUAAUCAAUUUUCCCUAUUUCAUUCAAAUUUUCUUGUUAAUGAUAUUUGUCUUUCGCAUUCUGUGAUAUUCAUUAUAUUUCUCUGUUUAAACUCAUCAUAAAAAUGUCCAGUGAUUAUAUCAUAAGCUCUAGUAUGACAAUAAUUUCAGAAAAAAAAGUUGACAUAACAAAAGUGCGCGAAAUUAAAAUGUAAACAGAGUGGCUUCGAAAUUAUUCGUAAUCUAUCAAGAAAAGAUACAUUUUUGACAGUUGAUCAAAGUAUGACGGGGAAAUCCAUAUGGAAAAGGAAAUGUGAAUAGUUGUGUCCAGUUUCAUUCUAUGCUUUCGAAAAUGCGUUAAGAUGAAGUAUAAGAUAUAAGGAAACUUCUAUGUGCACAUUUUGACUAAAAAUUGAUUUUGAGCUCCCCUUGCUCAAUAUGCCGAUCCAAAUGGCCCCUUACUUCAUUGAAUCCAUGACUCCCUUUUCUUACUGACUACACUAAUAAGAAGAGGGAAAUGACUGGAAUAGAAAUAAUAAAUGUAAUAUAUCACAGUGAUGCAUAUGCAAGUACCAAAAGUCUAUCAGCUCUCAGCUGGUCUAAUUUUUGGUAUCCAUUUAGUUAGUCAUUUUGUUGGAUUUAUUAUAAGAAAAGGAACUGUUUGAAAACACAGGUUUGCUUUUACAAUGAGGAUAAUAACUAUGUUGAAUCUAAAUGUGGUUUCCCUUUGUAUGGAUUUUCUGCAGAAAGUAAAACUACUCUGAAAGGUUUGAAGUUAAGUAGCAGUUUUUAAUUUUGUUCAAAUGAAUGAACUUGAAGUGGAAAUGAAGUUUAAAUAAUGUUUUUUAAGAAAGAUUAUCAUUAUUAUAUCUGUCUUUAAUUUGUUUUUGUUUUUUUGCAGAAUUUAUUUUGUUUUAUUUUAAAUUUGA